AGUCCCGAGGUGUUAUCACGUCAGACUGCAAAUCUGAAGACGUCAGCGAGAGCUGUCCGGGGCUU
rnacentral:tRNA from 1 species